UCUGUGCAGUGUACACUAACCCAUUUUUGUGUCUGUUUCUUGAAUUAAAAAAAUAAUAUCUAUGACAUACUCAAGCAGUUAUACCACCCAAUAAAAUGUUGCCACCCUUAGUAUGGAGGACACUACUCUUUCCUGAACUGCAAAUGGAGAAGCCAGGGGAGCAGAGAGCAAUGGAGAAGGAGAACACGCUGUCCCCUCUCCACAAGGGAGGAGGAAGACUGCAGGCCCCUCGUGAUUGCACCAUUACCCAGCUCCAGACUCAACCCUCCUCUCCACCCUCCUCACAAGAGAGAUACAGGGAUGUUCUACAACCAUAAAUCUGGUCACUUCCAUCCCCUGCUUAGGCCUGGGCCAUGGUCAGUGCCCUCAGGAUAGACUGGAGUUCUCCAAGGGCCCAUAAAAAUGCCCCAGCCUUGCUGCCCACUCCAGUCUCCUCUUCCUGCCUUGCAUUCUGGCCUCUGGGUUCAGCUUUGUCGAAACAGGCACAGUUCUCAUUCAUUCUUGAAAUAGUAGCUCAAAUGUCUUCUUCUCCUAGAAGACAUCGCUGGCCUUCCAGGCUGGGUGAGGCAACCACUGUGGGCUCCCAAGCCUUUACGCGUCCCCAACCCAGCCCUGACUCUCUGAGUCAUCAAGGCCUGAGGACAAUCUGUGUUCCCAGUGAUGGCACAUGGCCCGCUAUUAUGUCUCUGCUGUGUCCUCUGCAGCACGUCGGGGUAGCAGGGACCAGCUUGCAAGCUUGAAGUGUGCAGAUGGAACACAGAGCACUCCAGCCACCCAGGCAGAUAUCAGAGGAUGGGCCCUCAGGCACUGAUUCCUGUCUGUCACCUGGGAGAGGCUCCCUGAGGCCAGGUGGAAAUCAUACCCGGAUGCCACCAGAAUGAUGAUUCAGCCCUUUCCGUGCUUGUUCCAGAGGGGAAGCCCAUGAAAGGAGGACAGCCAGUGCUCUCCUGUGUGCCACGUUCCAGAAGCUCAGGUCUCCCACCAGCAGCUGGGGUUGUGGGAAAG
rnacentral:lncRNA from 1 species